GACGUAUCUUAAAAUGACUCACAGUUCACCCAAAGCUAACACAGAUCCAUACAUGCAACUCCAGGGGAAGUCACGGGUAAAAGUCCAGUUUUUUGUGACCCAUCUACCACCCCAACCUGCUUACAAGCCCUCAGGACGGCUUCCAUGUUUACUGCCAUCAGUGCAUUGGUCACUUGAUCACAGCCUUUCAAAAAAUGUAGGAUAUGUAUGAAUUUGGGUGCUUUGCUUUUUGAAGGAAAACAUACGAAAAAUUUGUGAGAACAGCCUGUUUAAAGUCUUUUCUCUUUUAUCAUGACUAUCUUUGUUAGCUUAUUUUAGCUUGGUUUAACUUGCAGGGCAUUGUGGGAAGUGUCGGCGGGUCAAAGGUCGAAGGGAACGCCAGAGACAGUAUUGCCAGAAGGACUUUGUUUUCCGUGCUCGAGUUCUCGGGAAGCUGUACAGAGGCGAGGAGACCCGAUACGAUGUCCAGAUUAUCCACACCUACCGGAACAGCUUUCGCCUGGAGCACCGGGAGUUCUUGUGGGUCCCUAAUGUGUGUGACUGCCCCCACCUGGAGGAGGGGAAGCAAUAUAUACUGAUGGUGCGUCGCCACAUUAACUAUGAGCACACACUGAACCGCAUCUUGUUGGAGGAAGAGAGCUACAUGGUGCCCUACAGACCCAGAGAGGACGAGCUGCUGCGACCUCUUGAAAGACUCUGCAGCAACAGAGGACCCAAACAGCCAGCAGAGCUGAUGGGACAAGUGUAGAGACAAACUAUACGUGUGUGUGUGUGUGUGUGUGUGUGUGUCAGAGAAUGAAGCUUUAGAGAAUGAAGCUCACUAUAAAGCUUUAUUCACCUCCAUUGUUUAAUUUCUGGACCUUCAAAACAUCAUCAGACUCUGUGUGAUUCAUGUGACCGCCUGAUGAAUUCCAGAGUGGCAUCUUUGGAGAACAAUGACCUUUAGAUCAUCGACAUUUGACAUUUAACAUUUAAAACCUGCCACAUUAGGAAACCAAAAAGACUCCAUGUUUAUUUGAAAACGUGACUGCCUUAUUGUACCAUACCGAGCACUUUAGGCGGAUGCUUGCGCCCAACUUUAAACACAUACCAAAGAUAAGAACAUUGACUGAAAUGGCCUUUUUGUUAUUGCUGUUUUUCCAGUUGUCAUUCAAUUUUUGUAUGUGAUUGUAUUUUUGUCGGUGUAAAAUUAAAAGAAAAAUCCACCUCAAAACAUUAAGAUGAAGUACCACUGAACACCAUUUUGACAUUUUGUCCUCUGCUUAUUUCUGAGGAUACACUGACUCAUCAUCUGAUACCAAAUGUUUUUAGCAAUCAGUAAGUGUUAGGUUUUGGUAUCAGUCCCUCAGAGUUAAAGUGUGGAGGGCGGUCUUUCUAGAGCUGCCUUAAUGUAAACCCGAAUUAUCCUUAAAUUACACCUGAGACUCCAUUGUUCCUGUGUUGAGGAACAUUGAGGAUUGAGGAAAACCAGCUGCUCUUCCAACGUACUGUGGGGAGGGAUGAUGGACUUUUCCAUACCUCCCAUCCCAACAUGUUCUCAUCCCAACUUGACAAAUAUUGCCGCUUUGUCAAUAGACUUUUUUGUCCAAAUAUGAUGCGCUAGAUGCCUGUGUCUGCUCUUGGAUGCUCAGUUUACAUUCGUUACUGCACUUGUAUAGUGCUUUUCUAGUCUGCCGACCACUAAAAGCACUUUUUACACUACAUGUCACAUUCACCCAUUCACAGACACAGUCACACACUGGUGGCCAAGGGUACCAUGCAUGGUGCCACCUGCUACUCAGUAACCUUUCACACACACUCACACACUAAUGGAACAGCCUUCGGGAGCAAUUUGGGUUCCAGUAUCUACCACAUGCAUUGUGUCUUUCCAAAAUUACACUUGUCCUUGAACAGGAAAUGUAAAAUUUCUGCACGUUAGAUCCAUACAAUAGUUUUCAAAAUAAACUUAUGUCAGUAAAACAUCUGGUUUUUAUGUUUAUUUCCUUGUGCAACAAAAGCAAGUGGUUGAUUUAGAAAAAAAACAUAAUGGUGUGGCUCAACAUUCAAACAGGAAUUGGACAGCAGGCUGCUGGUUUAGAGUCUGGGGUUUGUGGGACCCAUCUGCCACUCCCUCUACCUGCCCUAUAGAGACUUUACAGCUCCUUAUAUUACAUUGUUUCCGGCAGCAUUUCAAACUGACGCCGUCCGGCGGUGUAUCAUACCGCUGGGGAAUGUGUCUUUUUUGCGUUGUGUAAUGCCAAAAUCACUGACAAAGAGGCACCAUUUGAUGAGUUUGUAAUGAGACAGAGCUGCCUAUCCCUCUACUUCCGGCAGCCUUGCUUGAACCACACCCAACUCCAAACUCUACCUUGAUUUUGAUCUUAACUAUACAUCUGUUUUUUGUGUCUCCAUCUUGCAUUAUUGUGACAUUAUCGUGUUGACAAAAUCUGUCCACAGACAGACAGACAGACAGACAAAUAAACACCUGGCAAAAUACUCAAAUGGCUGCUGUGGUUGUUCUCACUACAAUAGGUGUCACCAGGAUUACAUUUUACCAUGAUGACACACACACACACACACACACACACACACACACACACAAACUCAUCAGGUGAAAACAGUACCAGCCAUCACAACCAGAUUCUUACUUCUUUCUUCUUUUAAACAACUUUACAUUAAAAUCUAACAUAUUAUAACUCUGCUUUCACCUAUCAUCUGUCUUUCAAACAGCACAUGUAACUGAAUGUAAAAGCAACAAGUUCAUGGUGCAACAUGCAAUCAGGAUUUAGAGGUGGAUUUUUUUUUUAAGUUUGAACUCCAGAUAUAGUCACAACAUAUUGCUUCACCAUGUAUUUAUAUAUUUAAAAAAAAUAUGCUUAAACCAUAACACAUUCAGUUGUGUGUCACUUGUUUAACAUCUUUUAUAGUGUCUGUGUUGUGGUAUUCAUUUUUAAAGUGUGUUAUAUUAGGUAUGCUUUGUGAUACUUUAUGUGAAAGAGAUUAUGAAUUAUACAGUAUUUUAUUGUGUGGCACUGAUUAGCUACAGAUAUACUAAAGUAUAAUCUGAUUUUAAUUGUUUUCAGAAAACCUUCAGUCUGUUUAAUGGUCAGUUAACUUCUGUGCUGUGUGGUAUGCAUUUGAAAUAUUUAUAUAAACAUCUUGUCUCAAACCUCAUCGACAUGUGCCAAAAUAAUGUCUUUAUAAUUUUUGUCCAUGUUGUGUAUGAAUUAUAAUGACCCACUCUUCUGAAUAUUUACUUUUUGUAGACAAAAAGCAAUUGAAUUUGGCAUUAAACAUUUUAAAAUUA